rnacentral:ncRNA from 4 species
UAUUGGAGCUGGAAUUACCGCGGC